UACGGAGGGUGCGAGCGUUGUCCGGAAUCACUGGGCGUAAAGGCGCGUAGGCGGCCUGAUAAGUAGGGGUGAAAUCCUGCGGCUUAACCGCAGGGCUGCCUUCUAAACUGUCAGGCUAGAGCACAGUAGAGGCAGGUGGAAUUCCCGGUGUAGCGGUGGAAUGCGUAGAGAUCGGGAAGAACAUCAGUGGCGAAGGCGGCCUGCUGGGCUGUUGCUGACGCUGAGGCGCGACAG
rnacentral:rRNA from 1 species